rnacentral:lncRNA from 1 species
CUUGGCCUGCCACCUUGUUAUACACUUCUCAAAUAUAUUAAAAUUUCAGAUUUGUUUAAGUGCAGAAUUCUCCUUGAGUUUUUCUCCAAGAAUUCUCUCUUGAGUUUUCUUUAGAAGUUGUUUUAACAAUCUUUUGAUUGUGGGAGCCAUCUUCAGCCUUCUUCUUGCCAUUGAUAUUCUUUGGAGGGGAGAUUAGAGCCGUUUGAAGGGAGUUGUGAAAUCUUUCGGGAUUUCGAGGCUUCUUAGGACUUUUCUUUAUUCUAUUGCUGUUCAUUCUUCUUUAUUAAAUUCUGCUUGUGCCGAUUUGUUGAAUAAUUUGGGAUUAAUUGUUCUUGUUGCGUUUCAGCCUUUCUAAAACUCCAAGAUCUGAUUCGGCACUUCCUUGGACAUAAAGAAACGUUUUUGAUUUCACAAAAACCCCUCUUUUCUUGCCGUCCAAUCCCUAGAAUUAGUUUCAAUUAAUUUCGUAAUCUGUUUUAAUUUAUUUGCUGUUUUGUGUUCUUUGAUAGAUUCGUCUGAUUGGAAGUUAAUCUUGGGGCUUAAUUUCGUGUUCUUGGCUUCCAAGAACAUCUAUUCAUAAGUGUUUUGAUUCUUGGCUAUUCUUUAUUGAUUUGGGGAUUUUUUUAAGUUUCCAGAUCUAAUUGCUUCUAAUUAAGUUUUGUUGUUUUGUUGUUUUGUUUCAGAUCCAAACGUUUAGAGUUUUCGUAGGAGUUUCCUGUGACUUAACAACUCGAUCUUGGUCCGCGCGCAACCCUCUAUCACAAACCAUCAUCAUUUGUUACUACACGUUACAGAUUCUACUUCAAUCUUCCUUAUCAUAUUUUGAUACAUCCAAUUUCACUUAUUUACGGAGUUUUUUUUCUCUCCACCAAUGGGAAUAAAGGAGAACAUUAGUGAAGAACAAGUUCCCCCAAGCCUUUCCUACCUCAAGUUCAUGAAUGACAAGUGAUACGAUGAAAAUUGCAUAUAAAAAGGGAAUAAUAUAUACCGAUUAGCCAUUGAUUGACAUCUGGGGCUAUAUAUAUUUGGCAUUGCUUCCUAGUUUGUGGUGUUGUAUGCUUUGCAACCCCUUAUUAUUUUUUCUCCUCUAGUGUGCCACCUUCCCCCAGCCACUAAUCAACUGUUUUCCCUCCUAUAUUUUUCUUCUCAUAGAUUUGAUGCUAAGGGCAAAACAAAAAGUAUGGUAGGGGGGCUGGAUAAUUCCCAAUUUCCUCGUCCUCUCAAAGUGCUAGAAUGUUUGAAAAAAAGUUAAAACCCCACAUACAUUGGGACCAUGGGAUUGUGAACCUUGUUUGAGUUGUAGCCAUCCAUCAUGUGCUACCUCUAAUCUUUGUCAAUGUCUUAAUCAUGUAAUCUCAAUGAAAUAUAUAAAAAUUAAUAAACUCGAUGUCUUUUAAACAAUGACUCGAAUUUGAAUUUAGAAUAUGAUCCAACUCAAUUAUAAAUUUAAUCCAAACCUUACAACUCUACAAAACAAAACCCAAUAUUUCAAAAAGAAAAUGGUGUGGUUAAGCUAAUGGAGGUGGAGGCGGGUACAUGAACUCCUGGAAAUGCUUGAACCUAUGUAAUUAUCAUGAAAAC